GCCUUAAUGAGGUUUGGGAGGUUUUUGUUGCUUUAAUCGAACUUUUUGUGCUUUUCCAGGCUGGGAGAGCACCCAGAGGUGCUGGUGGCAGAGGGGGUGGCACCGUGUCCCCCCUGCUUGGGUGGGCAGGGAAUAUCCCGGGCUGGGGCGAAGUGGAUCCAUGGGUUUGGGAACGCGGCGAUGGAAGGGCAGAACUUCCCCUGGGAAGGGAGAAUCCUCCCCCCAAACCCAUCCCCGUCCCUCCCCAGCCCCCGGAAACUCCCCCUGGAUCCUUCCCUUCUCCGGGUGAGCGUUCCCGGAGCUGCUCCAGGUGCUGCCGGUGAUGGGAACCCCGCACAAAUCCCUGAUGGGAGCCGGGCAGGGCUGAGCUGGGAUGGGCACAGGGACACUGAGGGCGCACCUGGAAUGCUGCAGGAGGAGAGCGCGGGCUGCGGGAUCGCCGGGAUUUCCUCAGCUGCUUCCACGGCUGGGGUUAAUUAAUGACUCAUUAAAGCCCCUCCCCGAGGCUUUGCCGUCGUCGGGACUCGGGGCGCAGCAUUCCCAGAGGGACCUGGGGAGACCUUGGGGCUCCCGGGGCCUGAAGGAGUUUCAGGUGAGCCGGAGAGGGGUUGGGGACAAGGGAUGGAGGGACAGGACCCUGCCGGAGGGAUGGACGGACGGGAUUUUGGGAAGGAAUUCCCAGAGAAGCUGUGGCUGCCCCUGGAUCCCGGGAAUUUUCAGAGCCGGGUUUGGAGCGGCCCCAUCCCGCUGCUGCUCCGCAAUUCCGAGCUUUGGAUCCUUCUCCGGCUCCGUCCCCUCGCCACAAUCCCCCAAAAAACUCCCCAAAAACCCCUCGGGGCAUUCCCCACCUUUGCGUGCCAUUAACCGCAACCCCGGGCUGGAAUUGCCGAGCCCGGAGCUGCCCCGGCAGCCGCAGGGACCUGUCCCUGCUUUCUGCAGCACUUCCUUAAAUAAUCUGCUUUCCCCAACACUUAACCUCGGGAUCCUCCCCUUGGAACGCGGGCGAGUCUGGCGCGCACUCGCCGGACCACCCUGGGAAGCAAAUCCCGAUAAUUUAUGGAGAGGCUCAGCUGAGAACAGCCCUGAACACCAGCAGAAGCUGGCGACGCCAGGGAGGCUUUCAGAACCUGCCUGGGCGUCGGGAUCAAAGCAGCAGCGAUCCCCUUCCUCACCGGGGGCGCGGGGAACGUCCAGGGGCCCCCAGGAUCCCAGAGCCAGCCCAGGUUUGGGGACACACGGGGACAGAGCAGCUCCAGGAUGGGAUGAGCCGGUCCCUGCUUGUCCCCACCCCAAACACCCCCAAAUCCCCAUUUCCCCCAAAUCCCCAUUUCCCAAAUCUCUGCCUGCCCUCACCCCAAACACCCCCAAAUCUCCAUUUCCCCCAAAUCCCCAUUUCCCAAAUCUCUGCCUGUCCCUUCCCCAAACACCCCCAAAUCCCCAUUUCCCAAAUCUCUGCCUGUCCCCACCCCAAACACCCCCAAAUCUCCAUUUCCCCCAAAUCCCCAUUUCCCAAAUCUCUGCCUGCUCCCAAACAUCCCAAAUCCCCAUUUCCCCUAAACCCCUAUUUCCUACAUCCCUGCCUGCCCUCACCCCAAAUGCCCAUUCCCCAGCUCCCCGCCCGCUCCCAAACACCCCCAAAUCCCCAUUUAUCGUUUCUCCGUUCCUGGGGUCACAUUUCAGACCAGCCCUGACUGUCAAACCAGCGCCCCAAGCCGGGUUAUCCCUUUUGGGGUUUGGAUUGGGGAUUUCUGACCCGGGACAAACCCGGUGCGGAGUUCUCCCUGGGCUGAUUUAAUUCCCAAAACCCGCAGGAAUGUCAAGCGGGGCUAAGUGCUCGCCCCAGCGGCACUGCCGGACAAAAGGCGACACUUGGGGACAUUAAAUCGCUCAGGGACAGUCAAGGACUCUUCAAAGCGGCUGCGAAUUGUGUGGCCAAGCUGGGAAACACGAGGCACAGGCUCCUGCUGGCCCGGGCGCGCCUCUCAUCGGGGAAAAGGAUGGAGCAGAGAGAAAAAAAAAUCCCCAAAAUCCUAUUUUUGAUUUGGGAAAAUGAAGGGGAGAGCUCGGGGAUUUGGUCUGGGGCUCCAGGGGAGGAUGCCAGGGCUGGAAACGAUGCCAGGAGAAGAUGCCAGGAGGGUGCUGGGGUGUCUGGAGGAGAUGCUGAGGCUGAAGAAGAAGAUGUGGAGUAACCGGGGGCAGAGGUUGUGGUACCCAGGGCAGAUUUGGGGCUGCUGGGGAAGAUGUUGAGGCACCCAGGUAAGAUGUUGGGGUACCCAGGGAAGGUGCUGAGGUACCCAGGUAAGAUGUUGGGGUACCCAGGGAAGGUGCUGAGGUACCCAGGUAAGAUGUUGGGGUACCCAGGGAAGGUGCUGAGGUACCCAGGUAAGAUGUUGGGGUACCCAGGGAAGGUGCUGAGGUACCCAGGUAAGAUGUUGGGGUACCCAGGGAAGGUGCUGAGGUACCCAGGUAAGAUGUUGGGGUACCCAGGGAAGGUGCUGAGGUACCCAGGUAAGAUGUUGGGGUACCCAGGGAAGGUGCUGAGCAAAUCUCUGCCUGCUCCCAAACAUCCCAAAUCCCCAUUUCCCCUAAACCCCUAUUUCCUACAUCCCUGCCUGCCCUCACCCCAAAUGCCCAUUCCCCAGCUCCCCGCCCGCUCCCAAACACCCCCAAAUCCCCAUUUAUCGUUUCUCCGUUCCUGGGGUCACAUUUCAGACCAGCCCUGACUGUCAAACCAGCGCCCCAAGCCGGGUUAUCCCUUUUGGGGUUUGGAUUGGGGAUUUCUGACCCGGGACAAACCCGGUGCGGAGUUCUCCCUGGGCUGAUUUAAUUCCCAAAACCCGCAGGAAUGUCAAGCGGGGCUAAGUGCUCGCCCCAGCGGCACUGCCGGACAAAAGGCGACACUUGGGGACAUUAAAUCGCUCAGGGACAGUCAAGGACUCUUCAAAGCGGCUGCGAAUUGUGUGGCCAAGCUGGGAAACACGAGGCACAGGCUCCUGCUGGCCCGGGCACGCCUCUCAUCGGGGAAAAGGAUGGAGCAGAGAGCAAAAAUAAUCCCCAAAAUCCUAUUUUUGAUUUGGGAAAAUGAAGGGGAGAGCUCGGGGAUUUGGUCUGGGGCUCCAGGGGAGGAUGCCAGGGCUGGAAACGAUGCCAGGAGAAGAUGCCAGGAGGGUGCUGGGGUGUCUGGAGGAGAUGCUGAGGCUGAAGAAGAAGAUGUGGAGUAACCGGGGGCAGAGGUUGUGGUACCCAGGGCAGAUUUGGGGCUGCUGGGGAAGAUGUUGAGGCAGGUACCCGGCGAAGAUCUGGGGAGGAUGCUGAGGUACCCGGGGCAGAUUUGGGGUUGCUGGGGAGGAUGCUGAGGUACCCAGGGAAGAUCUGGGGCUGCUGGGGAAGAAGUUGAGGCACCUAGGGCAGAUCCGGGGGGGGAUGCUGGAGAAGAUUUGGGGUACCCAGGGAAGACCUUGGGGAGAUGUUGAGGUACCCAGGGAAGAUUUGGAGCUGCUGAGGAAGAUGUUGGGGUACCCAGAGAUGAUUUGGGGCUGCUGGGGAGGAUGCUGAGGUACCCAGGGAAGAUUUGGGGCUGCUGGGACCAGUGCCAGGGUUGCUGGGGAAGACGUUGGGGUACCCAGAGAAGAUUUGGGGAAGAUGCUGAGGUACCCGGCGAAGAUCUGGGGAGGAUGCUGAGGUACCCGGGGCAGAUUUGGGGUUGCUGGGGAGGAUGCUGAGGUACCCAGGGAAGAUCUGGGGCUGCUGGGGAAGAAGUUGAGGCACCUAGGGCAGAUCCGGGGGGGAUGCUGGAGAAGAUUUGGGGUACCCAGGGAAGACCUUGGGGGAUGCUGAGGUACCCGGGGUAGAUUUGGGGUUGCUGGGGAAGAUGUUGGGGUACCCAGGGAGGAUCCAGGGGUUUUGCUGAGGUACCCAGGGAGGAUCCGGGGGGGAUGCUGGGGUACCCAGGGAGGAUCCCCCCCCCCCCCCCCCCCCCCCCCCCCCCCCCCCCCCCCCCCCCCCCCCCCCCCCCCCCC
ensembl:lncRNA